CGUGUAGGCGGUCAGGUAAGUGGAAUGUGAAAUGCCCCGGCUCACCCGGGGACCGGCAUCCCAAACUGCCUGGCUUGAGUAUGGGAGAGGAUGGGGGGAAUUCCUGGUGUAGCGGUGAAAUGCGUAGAUAUCAGGAGGAACACCGGUGGCGAAGGCGUCCAUCUGGCCCAAUACUGACGCUGAGGCGCGAAAGCUAGGGGAGCAAACGG
rnacentral:rRNA from 1 species